rnacentral:rRNA from 1 species
UACGAACUGUGCGAACGUUAUUCGGAAUCACUGGGCUUACAGGGUGCGUAGGCGGCUCUUCAGGUCAGGUGUGAAAGCCCUCGGCUCAACCGAGGAACUGCGCUUGAAACCGGAUGGCUCGAGUCAACUAGAGGUGCACGGAACUUCCAGUGGAGCGGUGAAAUGUGUUGAUAUUGGAAGGAACACCGGAGGCGAAAGCGGUGCACUGGGGUUGGUCUGACGCUGAGGCGCGAAAGCGUGGGGAGCGAACAGG